rnacentral:tRNA from 1 species
UCCCAUGUGGUCUAGUAGUUAGGAUUCCUGGCUUUCACCCAGGCGGCCCGGGUUCGAUUCCUGGCAUGGGAA